rnacentral:rRNA from 1 species
GACGAACGCUGGCGGCGCGCCUAACACAUGCAAGUCGAACGAGCGAGCGAGAGCUUGCUUUCUCAAGCGAGUGGCGAACGGGUGAGUAACGCGUGAGGAACCUUCCUCAAAUAGGGGGACAACAGUUGGAAACGACUUCUAAUACCGCAUAAGCCCACGACCCGGCAUCGGGUAGAGGGAAAAGGAGCAAUCCGCUUUUAGAUGGCCUCGCGUCCGAUUAGUUAGUUGGUGAGGUAACGGCCCACCAAGGCGACGAUCGGUAGCCGGACUGAGAGGUUGAACGGCCACAUUGGGACUGAGACACGGCCCAGACUCCUACGGGAGGCAGCAGUGGGGAAUAUUGCACAAUGGGGGAAACCCUGAUGCAGCGACGCCGCGUGGAGGAAGAAGGUCUUCGGAUUGUAAACUCCUGUUGUUGAGGAAGAGAAUGACGGUACUGAACAAGGAAGUGACGGCUAACUACGUG